AUCUGUACAGAUGUUGAUUCGAUAGGUAUACAGAUUUCCAGCAAUGGUUUCGCCGAAUCGAAUAUGGCAACCCUGCAUGCUCAGUCGCAGGGGCAGUCGACAUUCGCGAAAUACGACAUAAACGCACGAACUGUCAAACAAUCGUUUUUGUUUGUGCGCAAAAUUCGUAUUUUUGUGCUCCGAGCUUAGGCCGCGGUUGAUCUUUUUGCCUGAAAACUCGUUUCGCGUUUUUUUAGUCAAAAUCUUAAUUGAAUUUGUGUGACUUUCAAAACCUAUCGCUGUACGACAAGUGGACAUCCAUCGCCGUCGCCAACUGAACCAGUUUUGAUCGUCGCCAUCAACCAGGACUCAAUUUUGCAGCUUCAUGCUCACAUCUUGGCCGUACGGCCACAGCGGCCCGGAUUUGGAGGCACAACCACCAGAACGACUAGAAUUCGGCGAAAAAUGCAUUUUCCCACUACCUUCAAGCCCGAUCGGGAUGGCGACGACAACAAAUAAUUCGGUGGCAUCAGCACAGCGCGUUCGAUACAGGCGAAAUUAGCAAAACAUUCGCAGUCAUCAACAGUUAGAUGCAAAGGAAUAUGAAGUGUUCGAGGCAUCUAUGUUGGGGCACACAAGAUACAUGCUGACAUUGUGAUUUAAGCAUGCUGCACGAGGUCACUUGAUCACAAAUUUAACUAGUCGGUGAGUAACGACUUCAAAUCAAGCCGAUUAAGAUCAAAUUAUUUACUAAGCGGUUCAGUUUGAUAAAACAGUAAACUUUACCCGGUUAAUCCGGUUAUUGUACCCAAUGCGAUUUGCAUAUUCAAAACAAGUGCUCCGUUGGAUUUAGAAUCUGAUAUUAUUUUUCAAAUUCUUUGCCUAUGACGGUUUCAAUGGUUGAUUUUAGUUUUUCUUUGUGGUCAAACAAAAGUAUUUUUUGUAUAAAUUCUGGUGCUUAAUUUGAUCAGAAAGUCAAACAAAGGUGGACCUUUUAUGCUUUGUCAGGCUAUAAAGUAUUUGAAAAUUACAUUAGAUUCUAGAUUCAACGGGGUAAAAAAAAUUUUUGGUUGGGUAAAUUUACGUAGAUUUCAUCGGAAAUUUACAUGUUUUUGUGCCAUUUUUGUUUGGCACGUUUACAACGGAUGGCAUUUAAAUUUACGAUGAAAUUCAUGUAAAUUAGCAUCAUUAAUGACGUGCACUUUUGGUACAUCAUAAAUGAUGUAAAUUUACCGGAUUAUUUUUUUC